UCUAAUAUGACAGAUUAUACGUAAUGGAUUUAAACCCCAUAUAUAAAGGAUACUCCUUUUUUUAGAA
rnacentral:tRNA from 1 species